rnacentral:lncRNA from 1 species
GCAAGCUUAAGAAAUUUGGAGGUAUUGGAUUUGAGUUAUAAUUCAUUUAGUGGGAUCGUUCCAUCGUCUAUAAGAUUGUUGUCUUCUCUCAAGUCUUUAUCUCUGGCUGGAAAUCACCUCAAUGGUUCCUUAGCAAAUCAAGGUACAUAUAUUGUGAUUACAGGUUUUUCUAUUUUCUUUUUUAAUAUCUUGUUUGUUCUUUAUGCCAAUGAAGUCAUGCAUGUCUAUUAAUUUUUGGUAUUUAAUAAAAAACUUUAUUCUUAAUUCAUGAAGACCUCAUCAACUGUAAGUAACAACUAGUUGUAAAUUUGGGGGCAUUGAUAAGACGAGGAGAUGAUUGGUUACAUGUCUUAUUCUCUUUUGUAAGCUUCUGCCAAUUGAAUAAGCUUCAAGAGUUAGAUUUUUCUUACAACUUAUUCCAAGGGAUCCUUCCUCCAUGUUUGAAUAAUUUGACAUCUUUGAGGUUAUUGGAUCUCUCUUCCAACCUAUUCUCCGAAAAUCUUUUUUCCCCUCUGUUACCUAAUCUCACAUCCCUGGAGUACAUCGAUCUCAGUUACAAUCAUUUUGAGGGUUCAUUCUCUUUCAGCUCUUUUACUAAUCACUCCAACCUUCAAGUGGUCAAACUUGGAAGGAAUAACAACAAAUUUGAGGUAGAAACUGAAUAUCCAGUUGGUUGGGUUCCCCUGUUUCUGUUGAAAGCUCUUGUCCUAUCCAACUGUAAGCUCAUCGGUGAUCCUGGUUUCCUUCGACACCAAUUAAGAUUAACCGUGGUUGAUCUCUCCCAUAAUAAUUAGACUGGAAGUUUCCCCAUUUGGCUGCUUGAUAACAAUACAAGACUAGGAUCUCUAGUUCUGAGGAAUAACUCUUUAAUGGGUCAACUACUUCCCCUGAGACCUAAUAGUCGUAUCACUUUAUUGGAUAUCUCAGACAACCGACUUCAUGGGGAACUUCAACAAAAUGUGGCCAAUAUGAUUCCAAAUAUUGAGUUUCUAAAUUUAUCCAACAAUCAUCCCCUUCAUUUCAUCCAUAUUUGGAUCUACCUUUAAAUCUCUAUUGCAUACAACCCAUAUAUGAUUCCCUCUAAAUUUAGCCUUCAUUUCUUGCUAAGAGGUUUUAAAAGCCAGCAAUUUAAUUUACUUUCAUCCUCUAGAUUGAUGAGAACUCUUAUAUUUAUCCAAUGAUAGGUAACAUUUUUGCAAAUGCUUUUAUUUGAUUUUUUUAAUUGGUCUUAAAAAUAAGUGUUAAUAAAGAUCCACAAUAUAAAAUAAUAAAUUACAUCUCAAUUGACCUCAAGAUACUAUUUACUUCUACUAACUCAUUUUACAUCUUAAUUGUUCUUAAAAAGUCUAUAAUGGUAAUUAACUAUAGAAUUCAAGUUUUAAUUAUGCAAAAAAUAUAUAAAGGUUUUUAAAGUUAAUAGAAAAAGAGAUUCUGAUAAAUAAUAAGUAGAUUGAAACAUUUAUUUCUAGAAGUAGAGAAAGAUGGAGGAUCAUAAAAGUUGAAAAAAGAAUAAUUUGGAAGUCAUAAAAUUUUGGAAAAAGAAUAAUUCAUAGAGACCUCAUUAACAACAAGUAACAACUAAUUGUAAGUAACCAUGAAAAAAGUAAGGAGAAAAAUAAAGGAAAAUCAAGGAAAGUGACAAAUUUUUUCAUCCCCAUAAAAAAUGAUAAGGAAGAAAAAGGUGAAGAAAGUUUAAAGAAAGUAUAUUUUUCAAAAAUUGAAUUUUCUUUCCCUUAAAGUUGGUAUGGACAACCAAACAAGAAAAUGAUUUUUAAAUUCUUUUUUGACCUUUUUCUAUCAUUCUUUUUUUUUUCCUUACUCUAUUUCCUUUCCCUCAAACUUUCUAGGUAGUAAACAUUACCUAAGAUAAAUAGAGAAGAAAAUAUUUUAUCAUUUAUUUAUUUAGUAUUUUUUUUACCUUUUUUUGUAUUUUAUCCAAAUAUAAGAAAACUAUUUUUCUUUAUUUUUUCUUUUCCUUGUUGCUUUUCAAGAAUCAAGCAUACUUUAAACUUUAAUUAAGAGUUACAUAGAUUUACGGAGAAACAAUGCAACUGGUAACAAAAAAUUAAGGAAAUUUAAUUUUUGAGAGUAAGUAUAAUGAGAUUGGUUUGUUUGAUACAAAAUUUGAAUAAAAAUUCUUUCAAUGAAAAUUCAAGGAAAGGAAAAAAAACAAAUUUAUCUCUAGACUAUAAUACUAAAUCACUUAAAAAAAACUCCUAACAUCGUUUAUGUUCAUCUUUCUUUUUAUGGAUUUGAAAAACCCAAUAAUUUGGAGAAAACUGAUUCAAGGAAGAAUAAUUUUUAGAAUAAAAGAUUAUUAUUUAAGAAGAUCAUAAAUAUUAUAGUCAUUGUUGAAUAUGAUAAAUGAUUAAAAAAAAAAAAGGUAGUAGGAAAUUUGGAUACUUUUAUAAGACAAAUGCAUUUUUCUAGUAUGGUAUGAAAAAAAGGUAAAAUGAUAGGCUUUGAUCAUUUUUUAAGGUAGUUUGUUUAAAUCAUUUUAAUUUAUUUUGAUUUAAUAACAAUAACUUUUAUUACACUAGUUAUUUUGAUUUUCUUUUGAUAGAUUUUGCAAGCUUAAGCAAUUUGGAGGUAUUGGAUUUGAGUGGUAAUUCAUUUAGUGGGAUCGUUCCAUCGUCUAUAAGAUUGUUGUCUUCUCUCAAGUCUUUAUCUCUGGCUGGAAAUCACCUCAAUGGUUCCUUAGCAAAUCAAGGUACAUAUAUUGUGAUUACAGGUUUUUCUAUUUUCUUUUUUAAUAUCUUGUUUGUUCUUUAUGCC